CCUACGGGAGGCAGCAGUGGGGAAUAUUGGACAAUGGGGGCAACCCUGAUCCAGCCAUGCCGCGUGUGUGAAGAAGGCCUUCGGGUUGUAAAGCACUUUCAGUUGUGAGGAAAGGUUAGUAGUUAAUACCUGCUAGCUGUGACGUUAGCAACAGAAGAAGCACCGGCUAACUCCGUGCCAGCAGCCGCGGUAAUACGGAGGGUGCGAGCGUUAAUCGGAAUUACUGGGCGUAAAGCGUACGCAGGCGGUUGAUUAAGCGAGAUGUGAAAUCCCUGGGCUUAACCCAGGAACUGCAUUUCGAACUGGUCAACUAGAGUAUGAGAGAGGGUGGUAGAAUUUCAGGUGUAGCGGUGAAAUGCGUAGAGAUCUGAAGGAAUACCGAUGGCGAAGGCAGCCACCUGGUUCAAUACUGACGCUCAUGUACGAAAGCGUGGGGAGCAAACAGGAUUAGAUACCCUGGUAGUCCACGCCGUAAACGAUGUCUACUAGCAGCUCGGUUCUUAAGAACGGUUUUGCGCAGCUAACGCGUUAAGUAGACCGCCUGGGGAGUACGGUCGCAAGAUUAAAACUCAAAUGAAUUGACGG
rnacentral:rRNA from 1 species